rnacentral:ncRNA from 13 species
GCGUAGGUGGUGAAGUGGUUAACACAUCAGGUUGUGGCUCUGACAUACGCGGGUUCGAUCCCCGUUCUACGCC